CCGCCCGUAGCGCAGGUGGAUAGGGCGCCGCCAGCCGGUGGCGGAGGUCAGAGGUUCGAAUCCUCUCGGGCGGGCCA
rnacentral:tRNA from 1 species